rnacentral:lncRNA from 1 species
GCCCCCUAGAUCAGCAACGCAGGGAAAUCUCAACCUGAUGGUUUUAUAUGAUGGGCCUAAGUUGGCCCGUCCGCCCAUGUUGGGCCUAAAAGCCCGGCCCACAAGAUUAGGGCCCAUGGAUGAGGGGUAUGUUUCUUUUCUGGAGGGGACGUAUAAAAGGAGAAAGAGAGAGGGAGGAACGCACCUUUUGGCAUUUUUAACGUACGUUCCUCCUCCCUCUCUCCCUUGAAACGCUCCAAAAGAAAACGGUAAGCAAAAGGCGAAUCCAUCUUCCCUUCAAGGCCAAUUGACGUCAUCGGAUCGAACGGGAUCAGUUUUCUCUUCCUCAUAUCGGCGUCGGUGUUUAAUCUGUGGCUAACAAGGUAUGCUCGAUUAUGUGUGUGCUUUAGGAUCGGUGAUACAUGUGAAUUUCCCGGGCUCGUCUUCCGCAUUCGUUUUAGGGGUUCAAUUUAGUGUCGAAUUCGGUUUUUGGGAAUCCGACAAUCCCAACAUUGGUAUCAGAGCCCUAGUUCAUGCUUUCCCGACACCUUUCAUGUUUAUGAAUGAUUUUUGAUUGAUUUUUCGUGAAAAUAAUCGGCUGACACGGAUCGGGGCGAAAAAUCCCGACACCCGAGCACUGUUCAUCCAUUUUUUCGAGUUUCUGUAAUUCGAAAUCGAUUUCUGAUGACAUAGGGUGAAAGAGCUCGUCGAGACGAGUCCGUCGAUGGGUCGAAUGUCGCUGAGAGACGUCGGACGCGCCCACACGCGCCUGAAGCGCUGGCACAGCAAGCGCAUGCGCCACAUGCGCCGGUCGGCGAACCGGCACGUGCACGACGGCGUCGGCCGGUGAAUUGGCACGCGUCGGUCAGCGAACCGACGUGUGAUGACGUCACCAUGAUGUCACCCAACGGUCAGUAAUCGCUGGGAUGACGUCAUCGAUGACGUCAUCGCCGACAACAGUUGGCCGGCCGGUCACCGGCCGACGACCCGACCCGACCUGAGAUCCGAUCGGUCGCUCGCGCGUGCGAGGCACGUGCCGGGUCGGUUCGUCCGACCCGGCCUGAUCGGCCCGACUGGUCCGUCCGGUCUGACCGGUCCGACGACCCGACCGUUGACCGUUGACUUUGACCAUUGACAAAAAAAAAAGGAGGAAAAGAAUGUGUUUCUUUUUCAAUUAAGUCUAUGUGAAUUAUAUGUGAAUUAUAUGUGAUCCCUUAUUUGUUCUGCAUUUGUUGCAGGAACAAUGCCUCCAUUAAGGUUGCGCACACCUAUUCGCGCAAUUACCGAUGAACAGAAGGAAAGGCUUUCUAAGUUGAUAGCUGAACUGACGGAUCAUCGAUGGGAGAGUGGUGACUUAAUUGAUCACGUCCUUGAAGUCAACGGGAAAAUUCAAAAGGUCAUAUGAAAUGGUCGUCCUAUGCCACAGUCUGAGAUUGUGCGAUUUUUCAAGAACACCCUUCCACAAGAAUGGCAAGGAGUGUUGAAUCGCAUAUGGGAUGUCAACAAAGCUGGUUCAUAUAAGAAAAUUGUGAUGGAUUUUAUAAAUGAAUAUUACUGGAUUGUUACAAGGGAAAAGAUCAAGAAAUUGAACAAAAGAAGAUCUUUCCCAGUUCUUGUACUGACUUAGUGUUAGAUGUAGAGGCUGGUCUUUGUUAAGUGUGCUUUGUGAAUAUCUUAUGUAAUGUUUACUACCUGAUUGUUAUUGAUGUAGCAACCGAUAUGUUAGUUGAAUUAUGUGAAAGCAUUAUUAUUCUAUUGGAUGUCAAAUAUUAUUUGCUUUAUGUUAUUAUUGGUUGUUGUGGGUAGUUCAUAGAAGUUUUUGUAGCUUUAUAUAAUUCAUUUUUGCAUAAGACAAUCAUAUUAAUGAUAGUUUUGAGUUAGGAGUUUUGGAGGAUGAUUGGAAACAUAGUGACCUUUUGAUUCUGAAACCUUAUUUGAAAUUAUUCAUUAAUAUGAUGGGUCUGUGCAAAAUGGAUGCAUAAAUUAUAGGCAUUAAUAAUUCAUGCAUAUAUGUCUGAUGUGUUCAGAUCGAUGGUUUCAGCAACUAAAAACGUAAUUGCUGAUAUGAACGGCAACAAUUGUGAAAUAUUGAAUAUGAAGAUUCAAUAUAUGCUGGAAAAGCAAGAAGCACUAGAAGCUCUUGACCAAAUUAUGAAAGAUCUUGAGGAUGUCAUGCGCCGCCUUGAGCUAGUAGAGGACCGCCUAACAGCAUUUAAGCCGAAAAUAGAUAUUUGUAAUGCUGGUUCUAGCUCAGAAAGGGCUUUGAGCUCUAAGCGCAAGCGUAUUGAUUCGUUCAAUAUGUGGGAAUGCAAAUGAUCAAGUCCUUAUUGCAAGAAAUCAAGAGUUAACCAACACAAGAGAGGAAAACGUCCUCAAGUGAAGAAAAUGUCAAGGGUGAGGUGUUACAAUCGUGACAAGAAGGGUCACUAUGCUCGCGACUGUCGUGAGCCAAAGGAGGUAUGCACCCCUUGUACUUUUCAGAACUUUGCUUUUGUGUCAAGUUCUAUAUUAUUGGCCAAAUCCAAUCAUUUGUGGACUGUAGAUUCAAGAGUGACAGACCAUGUAGCGAAGGAAAGAGAAUCCUUCGUGGAAUUCCGACGAUACCAACUGGAACUAAGUGGAUCUAUGUGGGAAGUAACUCCAGAGCUGAAGUUAAAGGGAUUGGCACCUGCCAAUUGAACAUGCGUGAUGGACGCACCUUAUUCCUACAUGAUGUUCUAUAUGCUCCGGAGACUCGUCGAAAUUUAGUGUCUGUUUUAGUGUUGUUUAAGCUUGGUUUUAGUGUGAACUUCCGUAAUAGUGGUGUAGAUUUGUAUUUGGAUACAAACUACUAUGGUUGUGGUCAUUUUCUAGAUGGUUUCAUUGUAUUAGAUAUUGACUAUGUUAAUGCAAGUGUUUGUUAUUCCCUUCUCACAUCUCCUAAUUCAUAUGAUAAUGAUGUGAAAGUGUGUCAUGCUAGAGUUGGUCAUAUUGGCCAACAACGUAUGAAUAGACUAGCCAAAGAGGGCUUGUUGGGCAACAUUGAAAAAGUCGAUUUGCCCAUAUGUGAGCAUUGCCUAGUAGGGAAAACGACAAGGAAACCAUUUGAAAAAUGUAAAAGAGUUGAAUUUCCUUUGCAUUUAAUCCAUUCUGACGUCUGUGGUCCAAUGAAUGUGAGAGGAAGGCAUGGGGUUGUUUAUUUCAUCCAUUUUAUAGAUGAUUAUACUCGAUUCAGAUAUGUCUAUUUGAUUUCUCAUAAAUCUAAAGCAUUGGUUUGUUUCAAAAGGUUUAUGAACUUGGUAGAAAAUCAAUUAGACAAGAAAAUAAAAGUAUUAAGAUCCGAUCGAGGUCGAGAAUAUUUAUCUGAUGAGUUCAGAAAAUUAUGUGAUGAAAAAGGAAUAUAAAGACAGUUGUCUAUUCCAUAUACUCCUCAACAAAAUGGUGUUGCGAAAAGAAGAAACAGAACCCUACUGGAAAUGGUUAGGUCCAUGAUGGCACAUGCUAACUUACCUAUCACUUUUUGGAAUGAUGCGUUGUUAACUGCUGCCUAUAUACUUAACCGGGUGUCUUCCAAAUUAAUUACUUCCACUCCAUAUGAGUUAUGGACAAGUAGAAAAUCGGACUUAAGUUUUCUUAAGCCAUGGGGUAGUGCUGCCUAUACUUAUGAGUCCUCUCACAAGUUUGGAAAAUUGGAUCCCAAAGGAAAGAAGAAUAUUUUAAUGAGAUACUCCGAACACUCGAAAUGGUAUGUGUUCAUAGGUGAGCAGGAAAGUGGGUGUAUAACUGAAUUUGAAUCACGGGAUGUCACAUUCUUAGAUGAUGAAUUUCCUAAGAAUGACGAAAUAGGGGAAGAUUACUCCCUAUUUGAAACAUUGGAUCAAGAUAAUGAUAUUAGUGGAGUUCGUCCAAGUGGGAGUAAUAUGAGAAGUGAUGAAUUGAAUUCAACUCAUUCUCAAUUAUAAUCACAUGAUGAGACGACAUCAUCAUUAUUUAAUACAAGUGAGAGCAUAAUGGGGAAUGAUGUGCAAAGUGUACAAUCUCCCAUACGGCGAACAAGUCGCCAAAGUAUUCCCCGUCGACGUUUUGACAUUGAAGGGGAAACUUUUAUGAUUGCUCCGCAAGAUGAGGAUGAGCCAAAAAAUAUUAAUAAAGCUCUGAAUUGCCCUAGUAAGGAGAAAUGGAUUCAUGCAAUGGAAGAUAAAAUGGAGUCAAUGAAAUCAAACCAAGUCUGAGAACUGGUUGAUCUUCUAAAAAGACGCAAAGCUAUUGGGAACAAGUGGAUUCUCAAAAUAAAGCGAAAGGCUGAUGGUUCGAUAGAAAGGCAUAAGGCUCGCCUUGUGGCGAAUGGGUAUAAUCAAUAUGAAUGAAUUGAUUAUGAAGAUACAUUUUCUCCUGUAGUGAGAUUUACCUUCAUUCGCAUUAUUCUAGCAAUAGUGGCUAGUAUGGAUCUUGAGUUACAUCAAAUGGAUGUAAAGACUACUUUCCUCAAUGGAGAAUUAUAGGAAGAAAUAUAUAUGGAAUAACCUGGUGGUUUCAUAGUGAAAGGUCAAGAAGAAAAGGUAUGUCGACUUAUGAGAUCGAUAUAUGGCCUUAAGCAGUUAUCGAAACAAUGGUAUAUACGUUUUCAUAAUGCCAUAAUGGCAUAUGACUUUACAAUGAUAGAUGAUGAUCAUUGUGUAUAUAUCAAAAGAUCUAAGGAUCAAUUUGUGAUCAUAUCAUUAUAUGUUGAUGAUAUACUAAUUGCCGGAAGCAAUAUGGAGCUUGUUAAUACUGUCAAGAGUUGGUUGUCUUCCAACUUUGAGAUGAAGGAUAUGGGUGAGACUGCAUCCAUUCUUGGAGUUAAGAUUUCAAGAGAUCGUUCGAAGAGAUCAUUAUCUCUUUCGCAAGAAACAUAUAUAAAUAAGGUUCUUGAACGAUUUCGUAUGCAAGAUUGUAAACCCAUAGACACUCCUAUUGCAAAAGGUGAAGGAUUGAGCCAUAGACUAUAUCCAAGGACUCCACAAGAGAAGAAACAGAUGAAACAUGUUCCUUAUGCUAGUGCUGGAGCUUGAUGUAUGCUAUAAUGUGUAUAAGACCUGACAUAUGUUUUGUAGUUGGAAUGGUGAGUAGAUACCAAUCCAAUCCAGGUCAAGCACGUUGGAAAGCCGUUAAAUGAAUACUAAAGUAUCUAAAGGGAACUGCUGAUUAUACGUUGAGUUAUCAAGGAAAGGAUUUGCGACUCUAAGGCUAUUCUGAUGCUGAUUGGAGAGGAAAUUUAGAUGAAAGAAAAUCUAUCUCUAGAUUUGUUUUCUUACUAAAUAAUGGCGCCAUAUGUUGGAGCAGUAAGAAACAAAUGUGUAUAGCCUUGUCCACGAUGGAAGUUGAGUUCGUGGCAUUAUUAGCAGCAGUAUAAGAAAUUUUUUGGCUUAAGAGAUUUUUUAGAUCAUUUAGGUGUUAUUGAGAAAGCUGCAGAUUCAUUGUUGAUUAACUGUGAUAGCCCAAGCAGCAAAAGUGUACACCAAAGAUCCAAAAUAUCAUGGCAAGACUAAACAUAUAGAUAUCAAGUAUAACUUUGUCAAAGAUAUGAUUGCACGAAAGGAUGUGAACUUACAGUACAUAUCUACACAUAAAAUGGUAGCAGAUCCUAUGAUAAAGCCAAUACUUAGAGAUGUGUUUUGUGGCCAUGUGAAAUCUCUAGGAUUGCGUAGAGACUGAUGUACUGAAUAUUGUAAUUUCCCUAAGUGCUCACAUUUGAUGAAUUUGUGUUUUCAUCAUUAAUGCCUAUGAAUCUUUGUUUGAUCUUUAUGCAUCUUAAUGCUUAAUGCAUUACUUUAAGUUGAGAAAGUAUGUCGGACAGAUAUAAGAUUGGCCCACUCACACGGGUAAUCGCAUCUAUUUACUGUGUGAUAAAUAGAGAUGAGACUUUUUUUAAAGCUUAUUAUCUAGGUGAUAAUCGAGAGCUCAAGCUUAAAAUAUAUUUGUCGUCUUAACUAGGUGUUAAGAUGAGGACAUAAUACUUACUAUGUUUGAAAGUAAAAUACUCAACAUAUUUUACUUUAUCUGUCUAUGAUGCCAGAUGUGAGUUCUGAUGAAUUUUGUAAAUGAGUAGAUACGUGAACUCAAGUUAGACAUUAGGUAUGUCUGAACUAUCAUCUGUACGGUAUUGAAUGUAUAGACAUACACUCCAUGGGAAAUGAGUUAAUAUCGUAAUACGUAUUUCAUACUACGUAUGCAUGAGACGACCAAUAAGAGUGUCAAAAGUUUGAUCUCAACUUUUAUGCCGUGUGAGACUCUUGAGGAAAAUUUUCAAGAUUUAUAUUUAGUGUUUGCUAUCUUAGGAUAUUGCCAAUGGUCAUGAGUUGAUUCGAUCUAAUGGGACAUUUCUAGAAAAGCAAGCUGAACUGAAAUUGAGAGUUUGAAGGAGAAAGGAAGAUCGAAUUUGGAGAAUCACAUUGUAAUUUUGUGUUCACUGGUCGACCAAUUAGGACUGUCUUUGGGAUAAUCAUAAUUGUGAAUACAAUAUAUAUAUAUAUAUAUAUAUAUAUAUAUCAUUGUUUAAAAGAGAUCAAGAGAGAUAUAAAUGUGAUCGAUCGAUCUAGGGUAUUGCUUACUAAAUCUACUCAGAGUGUGAUGCCCAUUAUGAGCUGCUAUAUAUUCCUAACAUAUGUAUAGUAACGAGCUCUUAAAGUAUGCUGGUCGCACGGAUUAUUCACCGGUAUGAAUGUUGAAGAGAGGUAAAAAAAAUCAUAUUCGGUCCACCAUGUACGAGUAGGAGAUGAUGGUUUUAUAUGAUGGGCCUAAGUUGGCCCGUCCGCCCAUGUUGGGCCUAAAAGCCCGGCCCACAAGAUUAGGGCUCAUAGAUGAAGGGGUACGUUUCUUUUCUGGAGGGGACGGAUAAAAGGAGAAAGAGAGAGGGAGGAACGCCCCUUUUGACAUUUUUAACGUACGUUCCUCCUCCCUCUCUCCCUUGAAACGCUCCAAAAGAAAACGGUAAGCAAAAGGUGAAUCCAUUUUCCCUUCAAGGCCAAUUGACGUCAUCGGAUCGAAUGGGAUCGGUUUUCUUUUCCUUAUAUCGGCGUCGGUGUUUAAUCUGUGGCUAACAAGGUGCGCUCGAUUCCAUGAUGUGCUUUAGGAUCGGUGAUACAUGUGAAUUUCCCGGGAUCGUCUUCCGCAUUCGUUUUAGGGGUUCGAUUUAGUAUUGAAUCCGGUUUUUGGGAAUCCGAUAAUCCCAACAUACCCAAUAACAACUUUCUCACGUUUAUCCAACUUGAGAAAUCUAAUUGUUUUGAAGCUGUGUCGCUCUCUUGAAAAUGCAAUCCAACUCGGCGGGCUAUAACAAUUGAGACAUUUAACCGUCAGCGGCUUUCAACUCCUUGAAACAAUAAUAUUCUCCCAGCCCGGCCUGAAGAAUCUAAAAGAAUUGGAACUAGAAGACUGCCGACAGUUGAGAGAGAUUCAUGGUCUUGGGGCGUUGGAAACAUUGGAGUGCCUGAAGGUCCAUUCAUGUCCCUCAAUUAGGAGUCCAGGUGAUCUGUCGAGAUUGCAAGCAUCGAUGGAACUGAAAAUCACACGUUGCAAUGAGCUGCUGGGUUUUGAAGGCCUUGACGAGUUAGGAUUUCUGAGUCUCUCUAAAGAGAUCUCGUGCCACUCUUCGGGAUCUUGCACAAAUGCAUCGGACCCAAAGAUACCAGAUGA